rnacentral:rRNA from 1 species
UGGGGGAUAUUGCACAAUGGGGGAAACCCUGAUGCAGCAACGCCGCGUGAAGGAAGAAGGUCUUCGGAUUGUAAACUUUUGUCUUGCGGGACGAAUAAUGACGGUACCGCAGGAGGAAGCCACGGCUAACUACGUGCCAGCAGCCGCGGUAAUACGUAGGUGGCGAGCGUUGUCCGGCAUUACUGGGUGUAAAGGGUGCGUAGGCGGGUUUGCAAGUCAGGUGUGAAAACUAUCGGCUUAACCGGUAGCCUGCCCUUGAAACUGGAAGGCUUGAGUGGUGAAGAGGUAAGCGGAAUUCCUAGUGUAGCGGUGAAAUGCGUAGAUAUUAGGAGGAACACCAGUGGCGAAGGCGGCUUACUGGGCACUAACUGACGCUGAGGCACGAAAGCAUGGGGAGCAAACA